rnacentral:rRNA from 1 species
UACGAAGGGGGCUAGCGUUGUUCGGAAUCACUGGGCGUAAAGGGCGCGUAGGCGGCUUUGUAAGUCGGGGGUGAAAGCCUGUGGCUCAACCACAGAAUUGCCUUCGAUACUGCAUGGCUUGAGACCGGAAGAGGUAAGUGGAACUGCGAGUGUAGAGGUGAAAUUCGUAGAUAGUUCGCAAGAACACCAGUGGCGAAGGCGGCUUACUGGUCCGGUUCUGACGCCGUGAGGCGCGAAAGCGUGGGGAGCA